rnacentral:rRNA from 1 species
CCCGACUACAUGAAGCUGGAAUCGCUAGUAAUCGCGGAUCAGAAUGCCGCGGUGAAUACGUUCCCGGGUCUUGUACACACCGCCCGUCACACCAUGGGAGUCGGAAAUGCCCGAAGUCUGUGACCCAACCUACGGGAGGGAGCAGCCGAAGGCAGGUCGGAUGACUGGGGUGAAGUCGUAACAAGGUAGC